rnacentral:tRNA from 1 species
GUAGAGAUGGCUUAGUGGUUAAAAGCACCGACUGCUACUCCAGAGGUCCUGGGUUCAAUUCCCAGCACCCACA